rnacentral:lncRNA from 1 species
UACUGUGAAAGUACUUUUAUUCGUGGGGUACCAAUUUUCGUGGUUUUUGUGGAAGACUUUAUCCACGAAUUUAAGUGUCCAACGAAAUAAAACAACCAUUGUCCAAAUCAAGACAUGGAAAGAUCCCCAUGUAGGUUGGACUUAUGAUUUAGUCUUGAGAAGAUAUUGAAUAACGCCAAAUCUGAGAAUAUUUUAAUAGCAGUCACAGAACUACAACUGCAUGCAGGAUUAUACCAAUUUAAUAUCUAAUAACCUAAACUGUACAAGUUUUGAUCUUUUAAUUCUCAUAAAAAAAUAUUUUUUAUCGAUGAAAGUCAGAAUUCCGGUAUUGAUAUGCUAGUAUGAUAAAUUGUUCAUUUUAUAUCCUCAUACUUCUGGUACAUAUGGGAAAUAAUAAUUUCAUGCUUAGCUUGAUUUUGAUAAGAAUUAUUUGACAAUUCAAGAUAUAUUUAUAGCAUUUGUUUAUGUUACUGAUUUCUUUAGGUGACAUGUUUAUGGCCUAAGUAACACCUUUGAUGGUCUUUAAUCUGUUGAUAACUUUAUCUUUGGUUAAUAAGUGUUGUCACUACGAUUUACACAGGUCAAUGUUUACUUUGCAAUGUCCUUCAAUCCAGACUAUUUGUAACCUUGGUUUCUGAAGGCUUUAUUUUUUCAAUUAUUUUCUUUUUUAAAAAGCUAAAAUCCACGAAUUUAAAAACCCACGAACAUGUAAAUAUUGCUCAAACCACGAAAAUUGAUACCCACGAAUUAAAGUACUUUCACAGUAUGUAGUUUU